rnacentral:rRNA from 1 species
CGUGAGGGGAUAAGCAUCGGAAACGGUGUCUAAUACCGCAUAUGGUCUUCGGAUUAAGCUUCGGCGGUUUGGGAAGAGCCCGCGUAAGAUUAGCUAGUUGGUGAGGUAAUGGCUCACCAAGGCGACGAUCUUUAACUGGUUUGAGAGGAUGAUCAGUCACACUGGAACUGAGACACGGUCCAGACUCCUACGGGAGGCAGCAGUGAGGAAUUUUCCACAAUGGGCGAAAGCCUGAUGGAGCAACGCCGCGUGCAGGAUGAAGGCUUUAGGGUUGUAAACUGCUUUUAUAUGUGACGAAUAUGACGGUAGCAUAUGAAUAAGGAUCGGACUAACUCCGUG